CCCUUAGAUGUUCUGGGCAGCACGCGCGCUACAAUGGUCUUCGCAAACGGAUGCAUUCUCGAAGGAGAAUGCCAAUCUUGGAAUCUAUGCCUUGGUCGGGACAGUUGCUUGCAAUUUUUCGACUCGAACCAGGAAUUCCUUGUAAUCGUGAUUCAUCACAUCACGAUGAAUACGUCCCUGCCCUUUGCCCACACCGCCCGUCGCUCCUACCGAUCGAAGAGUUAGGUGAAUUGUUUUGAUCGAUAAGAUUUGACUAUGGUCAACUCUCGUUGUGAAAUUCUGUGAAUCUGACUGUUUAGAGGAAGGAAAAGUCGUAACA
rnacentral:rRNA from 1 species